rnacentral:rRNA from 1 species
UACGAAGGUCCCGAGCGUUAUCCGGAUUUAUUGGGUUUAAAGGGUGCGUAGGCGGGUUAUUAAGUCAGUGGUGAAAGCCUACAGCUCAACUGUAGAAUUGCCAUUGAUACUGAUGAUCUUGAGUAUGAUUGAGGUGGGCGGAAUGUGUCAUGUAGCGGUGAAAUGCUUAGAUAUGACACAGAACACCGAUUGCGAAGGCAGCUCACUAAGUCAUAACUGACGCUGAUGCACGAAAGCGUGGGGAGCAAACAGG